GGAAGGAUCAUUAUUGAAUAAACUUGAACAGGUUGUUGCUGGCUCUUAGGAGUAUGUGCACACUUGUCAUCUUUAUUUCUCCUCUUGUGCACAUUCUGUAGACCUGGAGCUUUAUUGAUUUAUUCAGAAUAAAGGAUUGCUGUGCUUAUUUUAAAGUCAGCUUUACCUUACAUUUCUAGGUCUAUGUUUUAUUUCAUAACCUCUUGAAUUAGAAUGUUGGAUGAUAAUUGGGUCUUUGUACCUAUAAUAAAAAGUUAAUACAACUUUCAGCAACGGAUCUCUUGGCUCUCGCAUCGAUGAAGAACGCAGCGAAAUGCGAUAAGUAAUGUGAAUUGCAGAAUUCAGUGAAUCAUCGAAUCUUUGAACGCAUCUUGCGCUCCUUGGUAUUCCAAGGAGCAUGCCUGUUUGAGUGUCAUUAAAUUCUCAAGCCAUUAUCUUUUUCUGAUAUGGCUUGGAUAUGGGAGUUCUUUUUGCAGGCCUUUGAAUAAAAAGUCUGCUCUCCUUAAAUGUAUUAGUGGCUACAACUACUGAAGGUGUGAUAAUUUAUCUACAUCUUUAUCUAGUGUUUUGAAGCUGCUUCUAACCAAAUGAAUAAUAUUUGAUACAUUUGACCUCAAAUCAGGUAGGACUACCCGCUGAACUUAAGCAUAUCAAUAAGCGGAGGAAAAGAAACUAACAAGGAUUCCCCUAGUAACUGCGAGUGAAGCGGGAAAAGCUCAAAUUUGAAAUCUGGCAGUUUUUGACUGUCCGAAUUGUAAACUAGAGAAGUGUUACCUGUGCUGGACCAUGUACAAGUCUCCUGGAAUGGAGCAUCAUAGAGGGUGAGAAUCCCGUCUUUGACAUGGACUACCCGUGCGUUAUGGUAUGCUCUCAAAGAGUCGAGUUGUUUGGGAAUGCAGCUCAAAAUGGGUGGUAAAUGCCAUCUAAAGCUAAAUAUUGGCGAGAGACCGAU
rnacentral:rRNA from 1 species